AAAACGACUCUCGGCAACGGAUAUCUCGGCUCACGCAUCGAUGAAGAACGUAGCAAAAUGCGAUACUUGGUGUGAAUUGCAGAAUCCCGUGAACCAUCGAGUUUUUGAACGCAAGUUGCGCCCGAAGCCAUCCGGCCGAGGGCACGCCUGCCUGGGCGUCACGC
rnacentral:rRNA from 4 species